AUCGACCCCGAGGCUCUUUUCCGACUGAACGCGGGCUCGAAACAGGACUAGGCCGCGUUGCGAUGGCGACGGGGAGGAGGUGGACGGCGGCGGCGGGCGGACAAGAGGCGGGGCGACCGGGCGCGUUUUCGAAACGCGGUCCCGCUGAGCGCGGGCGGGGCGCCGGGAUCUAAAUCCUCAGUCUCGGCUCAGCCCCCGCGGGCCUCCCGCUCGCCCCGCCCGGCCCUAUGGUCAGACCGGCGGCCGGGGCCGCAGCCGCAGCGCAGACUCCCGGACCGCGAUGGAGUGACCUGGCCGUGGAGUCGCAGGUGAAGAGCCAUGCCCCGCAUCGGCGAAGUCUGGAAGUAUGUGACGCGGAGGGACGACAAGUCCAUCAUCUGCAACGUGUGUGGUGCCCAGCUGGUGUGCUCCGGCAGUAGCACGGUGCUGCGGUUACACCUGCAACGUAAUCAUCACAUCCACAUCACAGAGGAGAGCGACGGCGGUAACCUGCCGGCCGCUGAAAGCACCGCAGAGAAGACUGCCGGUGUGAAGGAGCGGUGUCCGAAGAUCACUGAGCUUAUUGGCAUUGAUAGCUCUGUGAGUCUUUAUUCCAAGUGUAAAUGUGAACUGUGGAUCAUACGUGUACUGUGAGUCUUUAACCCAAAUACAAACACGUGAACUGUG